CUAACACAUGCAAGUCGAGCGGCAGCGCAAGGGAGUUUACUCCUGAGGCGGCGAGCGGCGGACGGGUGAGUAAUACCUAGGGAUCUGCCCAGUCGAGGGGGAUAACAGUUGGAAACGACUGCUAAUACCGCAUACGCCCUACGGGGGAAAGAAGGGGACCUUCGGGCCUUUCGCGAUUGGAUGAACCUAGGUGGGAUUAGCUAGUUGGUGAGGUAAUGGCUCACCAAGGCGACGAUCCCUAGCUGUUCUGAGAGGAUGAUCAGCCACACUGGGACUGAGACACGGCCCAGACUCCUACGGGAGGCAGCAGUGGGGAAUAUUGGACAAUGGGGGCAACCCUGAUCCAGCCAUGCCGCGUGUGUGAAGAAGGCCUUCGGGUUGUAAAGCACUUUCAGUAGGGAGGAAAGGUAGCGUGUUAAUAGCCCGUUACUGUGACGUUACCUACAGAAGAAGGACCGGCUAACUCCGUGCCAGCAGCCGCGGUAAU
rnacentral:rRNA from 1 species